rnacentral:tRNA from 1 species
AGAGAAGGGGAAAUAAUUCCCCCUCAGUGA